GAGUUUGAUCCUGGCUCAGGACGAACGCUGGCGGCGUGCCUAAUACAUGCAAGUAGAACGCUGAAGGAGGAGCUUGCUUCUUUGGAUGAGUUGCGAACGGGUGAGUAACGCGUAGGUAACCUGCCUGGUAGCGGGGGAUAACUAUUGGAAACGAUAGCUAAUACCGCAUAAGAGUAGAUGUUGCAUGACAUUUGCUUAAAAGGUGCACUUGCAUCACUACCAGAUGGACCUGCGUUGUAUUAGCUAGUUGGUGGGGUAACGGCUCACCAAGGCGACGAUACAUAGCCGACCUGAGAGGGUGAUCGGCCACACUGGGACUGAGACACGGCCCAGACUCCUACGGGAGGCAGCAGUAGGGAAUCUUCGGCAAUGGACGGAAGUCUGACCGAGCAACGCCGCGUGAGUGAAGAAGGUUUUCGGAUCGUAAAGCUCUGUUGUAAGAGAAGAACGAGUGUGAGAGUGGAAAGUUCACACUGUGACGGUAUCUUACCAGAAAGGGACGGCUAACUACGUGCCAGCAGCCGCGGUAAUACGUAGGUCCCGAGCGUUGUCCGGAUUUAUUGGGCGUAAAGCGAGCGCAGGCGGUUAGAUAAGUCUGAAGUUAAAGGCUGUGGCUUAACCAUAGUAGGCUUUGGAAACUGUUUAACUUGAGUGCAAGAGGGGAGAGUGGAAUUCCAUGUGUAGCGGUGAAAUGCGUAGAUAUAUGGAGGAACACCGGUGGCGAAAGCGGCUCUCUGGCUUGUAACUGACGCUGAGGCUCGAAGCGUGGGGAGCAAACAGGAUUUAGAUACCCUGGUAGUCCACGCUGUAAACGAUGAGUGCUAGGUGUUAGACCCUUUCCGGGGUUUAGUGCCGUAGCUAACGCAUUAAGCACUCCGCCUGGGGAGUACGACCGCAAGGUUGAAACUCAAAGGAAUUGACGGGGGCCCGCACAAGCGGUGGAGCAUGUGGUUUAAUUCGAAGCAACGCGAAGAACCUUACCAGGUCUUGACAUCCCUCUGACCGCUCUAGAGAUAGAGUUUUCCUUCGGGACAGAGGUGACAGGUGGUGCAUGGUUGUCGUCAGCUCGUGUCGUGAGAUGUUGGGUUAAGUCCCGCAACGAGCGCAACCCCUAUUGUUAGUUGCCAUCAUUUAGUUGGGCACUCUAGCGAGACUGCCGGUAAUAAACCGGAGGAAGGUGGGGAUGACGUCAAAUCAUCAUGCCCCUUACUGACCUGGGCUACACACGUGCUACAAUGGCUGGUACAACGAGUCGCAAGCCGGUGACGGCAAGCUAAUCUCUUAAAGCCAGUCUCAGUUCGGAUUGUAGGCUGCAACUCGCCUACAUGAAGUCGGAAUCGCUAGUAAUCGCGGAUCAGCACGCCGCGGUGAAUACUUCCCGGGGCCUUGUACACACCGCCCGUCACACCACGAGAGUUUGUAACACCCGAAGUCGGUGAGGUAACCGUAAGGAGCCAGCCGCCUAAGGUGGGAUAGAUGAUUGGGGUGAAGUCGUAACAAGGUAGCCGUAUCGGAAGGUGCGGCUGGAUCACC
rnacentral:rRNA from 1 species